rnacentral:rRNA from 1 species
UAGGGAAUCUUCGGCAAUGGGGGGAACCCUGACCGAGCAACGCCGCGUGAGUGAAGAAGGUUUUCGGAUCGUAAAGCUCUGUUGUUAAGGAAGAACGAGUGUGAGAAUGGAAAGUUCAUACUGUGACGGUACUUAACCAGAAAGGGACGGCUAACUACGUGCCAGCAGCCGCGGUAAUACGUAGGUCCCGAGCGUUGUCCGGAUUUAUUGGGCGUAAAGCGUGCGCAGGCGGUUAGAUAAGUCUGAAGUUAAAGGCAGUGGCUCAACCAUUGUAGGCUUUGGAAACUGUUUAACUUGAGUGCAGAAGGGGAGAGUGGAAUUCCAUGUGUAGCGGUGAAAUGCGUAGAUAUAUGGAGGAACACCGGUGGCGAAAGCGGCUCUCUGGUCUGUAACUGACGCUGAGGCUCGAAAGCGUGGGGAGCGAACAGG